GGAGGAUGGUUCCGCUGUGGGCGGAUGAAAAGGGAAACCGGUGAAAGUCCGGUACGAUCCCGUCACUGUGAUAGGGAGCCGGCGGCAGAAAGGCCACUGGGGCAGAAAGGCUCCGGGAAGGCGCCGCAGGCUGUGAACUUAAGUCAGGAGACCUGCCAGACU
rnacentral:ncRNA from 1 species